GCCGGCGAGUGGCGAACGGGUGAGUAAUACAUCGGAACGUGUCCUUAAGUGGGGAAUAACGCAUCGAAAGAUGUGCUAAUACCGCAUAUCUCUCAGGAGGAAAGCAGGGGAUCGAAAGACCUUGCGCUAAAGGAGCGGCUGAUGUCUUAUUAGCUAGUUGGUGGGGUAAAGGCUUACCAAGGCAACGAUCAGUAGCUGGUCUGAGAGGACGACCAGCCACACUGGGACUGAGACACGGCCCAGACUCCUACGGGAGGCAGCAGUGGGGAAUUUUGGACAAUGGGCGAAAGCCUGAUCCAGCCAUGCCGCGUGAGUGAAGAAGGCCUUCGGGUUGUAAAGCUCUUUUAGUCGGAAAGAAAGAGUCAUAGUAAAUAGCUAUGAUCUAUGACGGUACCGACAGAAAAAGCACCGGCUAACUACGUGCCAGCAGCCGCGGUAAUACGUAGGGUGCGAGCGUUAAUCGGAAUUACUGGGCGUAAAGGGUGCGCAGGCGGCCUUGUAAGUCAGAUGUGAAAGCCCCGGGCUUAACCUG
rnacentral:rRNA from 1 species